rnacentral:rRNA from 1 species
CAACCAUGAAGCCUAGCGAUUGGUUGACUGAGUGGCGGACGGGUGAGUAACGCGUGGGUAACCUGCCUCAUACAGGGGGACAACAGUUAGAAAUGACUGCUAAUACCGCAUAACCCGCUAGGGCCGCAUGGCCCGGACGGAAAAGGAGCAAUCCGGUAUGAGAUGGACCCGCGUCUGAUUAGCUGGUUGGUGGGGUAACGGCCCACCAAGGCGACGAUCAGUAGCCGGACUGAGAGGUUGAACGGCCACAUUGGGACUGAGAUACGGCCCAGACUCC